rnacentral:rRNA from 1 species
AAUAUUGGACAAUGGGGGCAACCCUGAUCCAGCCAUGCCUCGUGUGUGAAGAAGGNCUNNGGUUUNUNAAGCACAUUAAGUUGNNNNNAAGGGCUUUAGGUUAAUCCCCUGAAAUAUUGACGUUACCAACAGAUUAAGUACCGGCUAACACUCAGCCAGCAGCAGCGGUAAUAAGGUGGGUGCAAGCGUAAAUCGGAAUUACCGGGCGUAAAGCGCGCGUAGGUGGUUCAGUAAGAUGGGUGUGAAAUCCCCGGGCUUAACCUGGGAACUGCUUUCAUAACUGCUGAGCUAGAGUACGGUAGAGGGUAGUGGAAUUUCCUGUGUAGCGGUGAAAUGCGUAGAUAUAGGAAGGAACACCAGUGGCGAAGGCGACUACCUGGACUGAUACUGACACUGAGGUGCGAAAGCGUGGGGAGCAAACA